rnacentral:lncRNA from 1 species
AGAAGAAAAAAGCAAAAGCAACAAUGGCAGCAGCAACAGCAGCUAUGGCUGCUCUUCAGAGUUCAAUGACCUCUCUCUCUCUAUCAUCCAACUCUUUCUUCGGACAACCUCUCUCUCCUAUCACUCUCUCUCCUCUCCUGGUACAUUACACUCUUUUUUCUACACCAAUUUUGUUUAUUUCAAUUCAAGUUUCAAUUUUGACUAUUCUAUUCGUUUCCUUUAGCCUAUUACUCUAAUGGGUCAUUGCAAUAUUUGCUUGGUUCCAUUAAGAAUCAAAGUUCAUGGGCUCAUGGCUAUUAGCAUUUUCAGUUUUUUUCUCUCCAAUUUUAUUUCACUGUGAAUAUGAUGAUAAUGUUGUAAAUGUUCCCUGAAAAAAGGACAGGAAAAAUUGCACUUUACUCCCUUGAGAUACAGCUUAAUUACACUUGAUAUAUAUUGUGUUGUUGUUACACUAGUCCCCUAAGGUUUAUGAGGUUUGUAAUAAUAUCAUUGGUGGUAAAUUUAAUUUUUCCGAAGGUUUAUGAUAUUUUAUACUUACACUAGUGAAUGUAUAAACAUCUAAAGGAGAAUAGUGUAAUCAUUGAAAAAUGAAGGUUAUUAAGUUAUAUUAAGCAUAAGCAACUUCAAAGGGAAGUUAGUGUAAUUUCCCAAAAUGUUAUGAUCUUUUUGUAAACCAAGUUGUGUGCCUCCAUAAGAGAAACUCCAAUGUGCUGGUUGAACAUGAUUAGUGCAUGUUACAGGAUAGGUCUUUGUUAUUAAUUUUAAUUUUAAAUUGUGACUUGAAAUUUAUGUAAGUUUACUUGAAAAUAUGUGGCUCUUUGUGCUUACUACACAGCCCUCAUUGAUGUUUCAAAUAUUAUGUAAUGUUCAGAUGUAUUUGUUUUAAUUUUCAUUUUUAGGAGUUCAUAUCUGUUGAUUUUGAUAUCACCAAAUGAUUUUUGAUUAGGCUUGUUUAUCUAUAACAAGCCUCCUGCUAUAUUAUAUGAUGGAAAAUCUAGUGAUUCUUACUAUACUAUGUUCACUUUUUCUGCUGCCUAUCUGCUUGGGUACUCUUCAAGUUAGGAGUUUUGCUCAAUGAACUUUUCAGUUGAAGCUGUUUGCAAUAUCAUACUAAAGAAACAUAUUCUAAUGGCGUGAUAUCAAAUUUUAAACUCAUAUAAUUUGUCUGAUUUAGAGCAGUUCCUUAGAUUCUUAUUAUCUCAUUUGUCCAUUAUAUUAUCUUCCACAAACAUUUGCAUUGCAUAAAAUAAUUGAUCUGGAUUUUAUUUCCAUUGAUGAGUAUUAUUAAUUCAUGUUGUUUUUGUUAUCCUUUUUAUUCUAUUUCUUAGCACCAUGUCUACAAGAGAUGAAAUGUCUUAGUUUAAAAAAUAGUAUUAGCAUUGAAGAGACCUUUUGAUAAGCCCACAGUUUCUAGUUUCUUUUAAUUCCAUUUUACUCAUCUUUUGUUGCAAAUUUAGAGAAUGCUAAACAUUUUAUUAAAAAUAGUAACUACAUUAAGGAUAAUGUUUUUACUGGUGUGGCAACUGCAUAUUCCAAUUUCGUCGUGGACAUCAAUUUUAGCCCAUAAACAUCGUCUUGUCAUCAGGGUUGUAACUAAGUUUCCUGUGGAUGUUGGUCCCAUAUGUUUAGCAGGCUAAUUUGAUAUUAUUUUAUGUUAUGAUGUGCAGAGUAAGUCCGUAGAGAAGCAAUGCCCUAUUGUAAUGAAGGUUAGUAUUCGUUUCUUGCCACUUCCACAACUAUUAUGAUUAUCAGUUUCAGGUUUUGUCAAAUUGAAAAUCAAAAUGGACAAAAAUUAAGGAUAGUGACAUGAGAGCAGACCAUGUGGUGUCCAGUGAUGUAGAACUUAAAAAAAGUCUAAUUUGAUAAGAAAUAUUUUGCUAAUAGUUACUAUUUUUAUGCAGAUUAAAUUUAUGUACAUUAUCCAUAAAUUUAAUCUGCAUUUUAUGUGCGUAGUUUUCCGAAGUUUGUGAAUCAUAUUUUGCUUUGUAUUAAAAGAACUUGUUCAAGGCAUAAGGGUAAUACCUUAGCUACUUAGACUGUUGUGCAACUUUGACUUUCUCAUUUACGAAUACUAUUUUGAACUUGACACUGAAUACUGAAUGCAUCGUAAACUCUUAUGUCCUUACAUUACAGUCAGGCAUAAAGCUUUUGAUGUUGUAAAUAAAAUUGAAAGCAAACCAAACCUCAAAACUUCUCCAAUUUAAUAAUGUAAAACAACAUAAAAAGAUAAGGCUUAUGGGUCACAAGUCACAACUUAAAUAUAUUUCUAUUUAUUGCACUAAUAACUAAUUAUCUACUCAUUCUUAAUAAUGAUUGUCUUGUGUAAUACCUUUUCUGUUUCUUCC